rnacentral:lncRNA from 1 species
CACACAACAAACAAGAAACAUCAUCACUAAACCAGACCUCCCAGCACUACAUCAACCCGUCUUUUGAACACCUCCAGGGAUGAUGUGUCCAUACUUCCCCCUUUGACCACCUCCCCCGCAGCCCCCCAAAAGUUUUGACCUUCUUGAAAAAUCCUUCUCUCCCCAGCUCUGAGCUCCUGGGACCCCCAAAAAACCAUAUUCCCUUAUUCUCAUGGACCGUCUGCAGGGCUGGAUCCCUCGGUGGGACGUGGGUCUGGACUCUCUGUCCCGCACGUGGUGGAUACGUGCCAGACGGCAGCACUUUUUUUAAAUAAUCUGUAGCACUCUAAUGUCCGUCCCGCAGGAGCUGAUGAAAUGGGUCCUAUUAUACUUCCUGAGCUAAGCUUGAUCUUUCAUUGUCCCGUCGGCCCAGCUCCCGGCACCGCGAGCUCCAUUUUCACUGCGGACAAUUGCAAAGGCCAAAAGUGGGAAUCACCGGUGGUGGAAAAGUUUUAUGGGUUUCCCUUUUGCCAUUUCCAUCUAGAUGACAUCAUAAAACGCCACAGGAAGGAGCAGACGGAGGGCAGUGCCACGGGGGACCGGCGGCAGCAGCAGGUGAAGAACAGGAACGCGGCGUUUGGGUCCGGGCGGCCCCGAUUCCGCGCCUGGAUGCAGAGGAAUUUGCAAGGGCCUAACCGUUUUAGAAGAGGGUUUGGACAACAACAACACAACCGGAGACAGUUCAGGAACACUGUGCCCGGCCCCAGGAGAAGGGCAGCUGCCGCCUUAAACGGAGUGAGCCCUUUGAAUCGCCAGGCAUCGGCUCAGGAGGGCAACAGGAACGACGAGGCUUUCGCCAAAAGCAGCGGGCAGCCCGAGGGACGGCGACGGCCGCCCCCAGGCCCCAAGAGAUUCCGAGUGGCUGCUGCCAGCACCCACGCCCCGGGGAGAAGGCCUUUCCUGCUGAACCGGGGACCAGCCUUCCAGCAGAAGCGGAUGCCGCAGUGGUUCUCCAAAGCCAACUUUCAGAGAGGGCAGAUGGAUGCUAAUGGAGAAGGGAAACCACCCAGGAGGAGAAGGUGGCAAGUGAAGCCCAGCCCCGGAGCGGUUCUGACGGUUUCUGUGGCUAAUCCCCAGGCGGGCCAGGCCGGCGCGCCCGGAUCCAAGCGGCCGUUCCUGCGAAGCCGGAGGCCCCCACCACCACCAGCCAAGCCCCAGCCCAAGGGGGUGCUGCUGAGGUUCAACUUCCGCGCCAUGGCCAACCAGGUAGAGGGUUGUCGACGGGACAGGCGGCGCCUGGCACCCUCCAGCAGCCCUGCCACUGGGCUCCUAACGUCACGCUCAGGUGUCUGGGGCUGCUGGCUGGGUUUGUCUGGCAUAACCCAGGAGGCAAGUCCCAUAGCCACGUUGGCUGGGUCGCUCGUGCAACUGAAGGCACCUGAGAAGACUGUUCAGCAACUGCAGACUCAGCCCAGUUUUCCCAACUCUGUUGGGUCCUCUUGGCCUAUCCAUGUGCUUGCUCAGAGCAGGGAGAUGCUGCUUGUGAGUGGUCCUGGCCGGGGGGGACCAUUUCACUGUCGGUGCUCCCCAUUCCUCAGGGACACACAGCACUUCUGGGCUUUGCUCUCUCUUUGCUUUGGUGACCUUCUCGGUGCCACGUUUUACACUGAAGUACGGUCCAAGAGCCCUGGGGCAGAUCAGAAAUCCUGCUCCACCUUCUUCAUUGCCGGCAUUUCUUGUCUGGACGGUUUGGUUUUACUUCAUGCCUUGUGCUCAAAUGCCAUCUGCUUGCUCCUGCUGAGGACGCCUGGUGUCUUGGGGCUGGGCACUGCUUGGAGGUUUUCCAGACGCACACAGUCUGUCGAGCUCCUUGUCUCCGUGUGCUGAGUGGUUUAAUUGACUAACCGGCUGCCCAGCACCGUCCUGACUGAUGGGCUCUAAUCAAUACCCUGCUGCAAGUGUGGCCACGCUUUUCCAGGAGCCGCGGGACUGACUGGCUCUCCCUUUCCCCCGCAGACCAGCCUGACGCUGGAUGAGAGGUUCUCUGGGCUGAGGAAUAAGAGGCGCUUUACAGCAGCCCGGAGCGCCGGCCGGACGGUCACCAUGCCUUAGCACCACCUGCCCCUCGCAGGGGCUGCCCAAAACAGUCCGGGCCCCGUACCGGGCAGCUCAAUAAAACUUGAUAGAUUUCCUCCGAGAGCGCUGAU